rnacentral:rRNA from 1 species
GACGAACGCUGGCGGCGUGCUUAACACAUGCAAGUCGAACGGAAAGGCCUGCUUUCCCUUGUGGAUUGCGGGUACUCGAGUGGCGAACGGGUGAGUAACACGUGAGUGAUCUGCCCCCAACUUGGGUAUAAGCCUGGGAAACUGGGUCUAAUUCCCGAUAGGACUGCAGGGUGGUGCCUGUGGUGGAAAACGAUUUUCUAGUGGUUGGGGAUGAGCUCGCGGCCUAUCAGCUUGUUGGUGGGGUAAUGGCCUACCAAGGCGGCGACGGGUAGCCGGCCUGGGAGGGUGGACGGCCACAUUGGGACUGGGAUACGGCCCAGACUCCUACGGGAGGCAGCAGUGGGGAAGAUUGCACGAUGGGCGGAAGCCUGAUGCAGCGACGCCGCGUGGGGGAUGACGGCCUUCGGGUUGUAAACUCCUUUCGACCGCGAGGAAGCCACCUGGUUGGAAGGGUGGUGACGGUAGUGGUAGAAGAAGCACCGGCUAACUACGUG